GACGAACGCUGGCGGCGUGCUUAACACAUGCAAGUCGAACGCUGAAGCUCAGCUUGCUGGGUGGAUGAGUGGCGAACGGGUGAGUAACACGUGAGUAACCUGCCCUCUUCUUUGGGAUAACGCCCGGAAACGGGUGCUAAUACUGGAUAUUCACUGAUUCUCGCAUGGGGGUUGGUGGAAAGGUUUUUUCUGGGGGGGGAUGGGCUCGCGGCCUAUCAGCUUGUUGGUGGGGUGAUGGCCUACCAAGGCUUUGACGGGUAGCCGGCCUGAGAGGGUGACCGGUCACAUUGGGACUGAGAUACGGCCCAGACUCCUACGGGAGGCAGCAGUGGGGAAUAUUGCACAAUGGGCGAAAGCCUGAUGCAGCGACGCCGCGUGAGGGAUGGAGGCCUUCGGGUUGUAAACCUCUUUCGCUCAUGGUCAAGCCGCAGCUUUGGGUUGUGGUGAGGGUAGUGGGUAAAGAAGCGCCGGCUAACUACGUG
rnacentral:rRNA from 1 species